GUGGGGCGCUGAAGCUCCGCCUGAUAGACUUGUGAUUCCGUUUAAAUUCCACUCCCUGAGAUCCACGUAAUCUUCCUCUGAUGGAGACCCGUCCAGAGAGAGAAAUCUGUGGAGACAAAGGGCUGCUUGUGGAGAGGAGGUAAGUGGGAUUGUGCUGGUACGCACAUGGCCGAGCACAGAUGAGGGUUUUACACGGCUUACAGUUAGCUGCUUAAAAUUCUUCUGAUGGAACCAGCACACAACAGGUUGUUACUGUUGUAGCAAACAGUGGAAGAGAAACCUGUCACCUCUUAGUGUGCCACUUCGUGUGUUUGCCCGUGUGGGAGGACUCGGCAGGUGGAGAGGAGAGAGGCUCAAGAGGAGGAGAGAAAUCACUCACUCCAGAGAGAGGAGAAGCACCUGAGCUCGGCUGCCAAGUGUCAAGAUGUAGAUUUCCCUUCAGCUGAAUGGGCCGUUGAGUUUUUGUGGAGAAGAGUUGAGAGCUGAUCUGAAAAAGCUCGAAGGUCGCUGACAAGGAGGCGCUGAGGAUGAACCAGGUGGUGCCUCCAGAGGUGUCUUGUGUGUGACACAACCAUACACCAGGAUCUACAUCUCAACCCACGACUCUACCUCUAAUCUGAUGCAUCUUACCGAAGUUCAUACGUUAUGAUUUUUUACUUUUAUGCAGGCAGUGGUGUUUGUGUGCACCAGAGGGCGCACUGCUGAGGGCCACUUAAACUUAUGGCGACUAAAGUGGGAGACAAUGAAACACAUGGGAUUAAAACCCAAAAACUGUAGAUGAGUCUGACUCAAAAGAGUCAAAUCAGCAAAAUACAC